rnacentral:lncRNA from 1 species
CUGAAUAAAUGUGUUUUUUUUUCUCAGGAGAUUUAAAGACCCUUAUGAAGAGAUUAAUACAAAUUUCAGUUAAGUUUGCAGCAAUGGAAAACAAAAUUGUAAAUUCUGCAUGUGACAGUUUUGCACAAGUGGUGUCACGGAUGCUCUUCUGCCAUAUCAGUUCAAGUGCGCUCAUAGUUUCUGUGAAGAGUUGUACUCCAAACUCCAUUUCUUUUCUUUCAAGGAAUAUUUAUGAUAUUGCUUCAGAAUGUCUUAAUGUUGAAUCUCUUCAAGUGAGAGAAGGUAGAAAAAUCCACAGUAGUACACAAGUCUGGAGGCAUUCUUCUGGCUUCUUGGGCUGUGAGCUGUUACUUUGGGAGUUAAGCACAAGAGCAGCAAGCAGGCUCACCUGGCUGUUGGUGUCUGGAGAAGAUCCUCUGUAUUCUGUUCUUCUUGCUUGAAGAGGAUAAUGCUUGUGAUGAACAGUAGAAAGGUGCUUUCAAGUCACCCUUACACCCAAAUAGGAGUUUCCUGCGCGUAUUGGCACAGAGUGGGGCAGGGGUCAUUUGUUGUUUCUUUUGUACUUGAACAGGAUGCAAAUGCUAUCUGCUUAUAUUUUGACAUUAUUUGAUGAUUUUCUUCCUUAUUUUCUUUUCCCAUGACUUCAGAGGAUGUUUUCCACACUGUCUUCAUAUGUGUUGCAGCAGAAAUGGAGAUAGUAUUAGCAGUCAUUUAACAGGGAACAGCUAGUGUCAUAUUUUGUAUCCUCUUCCCAAAUUUAAAAUCUAGGGAUAACAGAUUAGUACUUCUCUAGUAUUCAGCUUCCAACAAGGCCUGAACAUUGUUUUUUUUAUUUGAUGUAGACAAACAUAUUUGAAGUUAACAAUUUUUCAGCUGCCUUCAUCAUUUCCCAGAUACUAGAGAAGCCUGUCUGUAUCAAUUCUCAACAUACUAUUAAAUGUUAUUUUCUAGUUAAUUCAGAAAUGUCUGUCCCAGAUAAUGAUGAUUCUGUGUGUGUGUGUGUACUACUCCCAUUCUUAUCUCACUCUAUUUCUCUCUGUACAGUUUCCCAAUCUCUGUGGAGGCGAUGGUAGUUUUUAUCCACAGUUCUCCACUAGAUGUAUCAUCUUUCUUCAUUUUUUUUAAUCUGAACAUUAGGCUAAAGGGAGUUGAAAAUGCUUACUUAACUAGUUGGAUAACAGCCUUGCAGCUACUGGACUCUAACAAUCUCUUUACAAUCAAGUUUUGUUGCUUAAGAAGGCAACAACUUACAACUAACAUGAUCUAAGAAUAAGAAUGAAAGCCAAGUGCUGUUGACAGUAUUGUGCCUAAGUUAUUACAUCGUUAUUCAAAACUUGAAUAACUUUCAUUAAAAAAAAAAAGCAAUGCACAUAAAAUCAUGACUUCAUUUGAGUUGGAAGGGACCCAUAAAGGUCAACAGGUUCAACUUCACUGUGAUGCACAAGCAUUGUAAUGCAUCCUCUUGCACUAUAGGAAUAAAGUUUGUUUCUGAAAAUUAAGUUAAACA